rfam:Lachnospiraceae bacterium 28-4 genomic scaffold acPFn-supercont1.3, whole genome shotgun sequence.
UUGCAUCCAAUCAGUAAUUUCACUUAUGAAAUGGUCAACGACACAAGGGAAAAAUCGCCACGGAGGGCGAUUUUAGGAAGCUGGGCAUGGAUGCCCUUGCUUCCGCCCCGGCCGGUUAAAAUAUCCUUGCCCAUUUCAUUAGUGAAAUCUGAUUGGAAGCUC